CACGUAGGGUGCGAGCGUUGUCCGGAAUUAUUGGGCGUAAAGAGCUCGUAGGCGGUCUGUCGCGUCGGUCGUGAAAACCUGCAGCUUAACUGUGGGCUUGCGGUCGAUACGGGCAUGACUGGAGUUCGGCAGGGGAGACUGGAAUUCCUGGUGUAGCGGUGAAAUGCGCAGAUAUCAGGAGGAACACCGGUGGCGAAGGCGGCUAUCUGGCCCGUAAAUUGACGC
rnacentral:rRNA from 1 species